rnacentral:sRNA from 1 species
UUAAGCCUGCCGUGUUCGUGUACCCUGCGUUCAGGGUUAACGCCCAUUUAAACCCACAUUAGAUUUACGGGAUGCCGGUCUCUCCCUGCCGAUUGCAGGCCUCCCGAUGCCUUUCUGCGUCGGACGUUGGAAGCGAUGACUCAUGGAGGAGGCAACCCACCUGCAGAACUGUGCAGGUUCUAAUUGGGCGGCACGGCACAGGCGGGUUUUUU